UUCCUGAGGUCUAGUGGUUAGGACUUGGCGCUUUCACUGCUGAAGCCCAGGUCCAAUCCCUGGUCUGGGAA
rnacentral:tRNA from 1 species